GUCUAUAGCCAUAUCACCCUAUUGCACCCAAUCUCAUUUGAUUUCAGAAGCUAAACUAGGCUAGGCCUGGUUACUAUGAAUG
rnacentral:rRNA from 1 species